GUUAAGUAAGGGCGUAUGGCGGAUGCCUAGGCUCUCAGAGGCGAAGAAGGACGUGAUAAGCUGCGAAAAGUUACGGGGAGGGGCACAUACCUUAUAAUCCGUAAAUAUCCGAAUGGGGCAACCCACUAUAUUGAAGAUAUAGUAUGCGAAAGCAGGCAAACCCGGUGAACUGAAACAUCUAAGUAACCGGAGGAAGAGAAAACAAAAGUGAUUCCGUUAGUAGUGGCGAGCGAACGCGGAUUAGCCCAAACCAAUGUUGUUACGGCAAUAUUGGGGUUGUAGGACCACGAUAUUCAAUGCUAAGUGAAUUAGAACUGUUUGGAAAGACAGACCAAAGAGGGUGAUAGUCCCGUAAAAGUAAGCGAAGUUAUUGAUAGUGGUAUCCUGAGUAGUGCGGGACACGUGUAAUCCUGUAUGAAUCCACCGGGACCAUCCGGUAAGGCUAAAUACUCCUGAGAGACCGAUAGUGAACUAGUACCGUGAGGGAAAGGUGAAAAGAACCCUAAGUAAGGGAGUGAAAGAGAACCUGAAACCGUACGCUUACAAGCGGUCGGAGCAUCUUCGGAUGUGACGGCGUGCCUUUUGCAUAAUGAGCCUACGAGUUACUGUUUCUAGCAAGGUUAAUUGAUUAAGUCAAGGAGCCGUAGCGAAAGCGAGUCUGAAUAGGGCGCUUUAGUUAGUAGUAGUAGACGCGAAACCGAGUGAUCUACCCAUGGGCAGGUUGAAGCUGUGGUAACACACAGUGGAGGACCGAACCAGUUGACGUUGAAAAGUCUUUGGAUGACCUGUGGGUAGGGGUGAAAGGCCAAUCAAACUCGGAAAUAGCUCGUACUCCCCGAAAUGCAUUUAGGUGCAGCGUUGAGUAAAAGUUUUAUAGAGGUAGAGCUACUGAUUGGAUGCGGGGGCUUCACCGCCUACCAAUUCCUGACAAACUCCGAAUGCUAUAAAAUGUUUCUCAGCAGUGAGGGCAUGGGUGCUAAGGUCCAUGUCCGAGAGGGAAAGAACCCAGACCAUCAGCUAAGGUCCCCAAAUAUAUGUUAAGUUGAAAAAACGAGGUUUGUCUGCCCAGACAGCUAGGAUGUUGGCUUGGAAGCAGCCAUUCAUUUAAAGAGUGCGUAACAGCUCACUAGUCGAGCGAUCGGGCAUGGAUAAUAAACGGGCAUCAAGUGGUAUACCGAAGCUAUGGAUAGGGAUUUAUCUCUGUGGUAGGGGAGCAUUCUAACAUCAGUGAAGCUGACUGGUAAUGGUUGGUGGAGAGGUUAGAAAAGCAAAUGUAGGCAUAAGUAACGAUAAGGCGGGAGAGAAACCCGCCCACCGAAAGACUAAGGAUUCCUGAUCAACGUUAAUCGGAUCAGGGUUAGUCGGGGCCUAAGGAUAAUCCGGGUGGAGAUUCCGAUGGACAACUGGUUAAUAUUCCAGUACUUUUUAUAACUGCGAUGUGGUGACGGAGUAGUGAAACUGCCGCGAACUGACGGAAUAGUUCGUUAAAAGGCGUAGGUAUAGCGAACACAGGUAAAUCCGUGAUUGUUGCUGAAACCCAAUAGUACCGCGAGCCUUCGGGUAAGUGGAUAGAGCAGGUAAACAGACUUCCAAGAAAACCCGCUAAGCUUCAGGUUAUAAGAACCCGUACCGUAAACCGACACAGGUAGUCGAGGAGAGAAUCCUAAGGUGCUCGAGUGAAUCAUGGCUAAGGAACUCGGCAAAAUGGCCCUGUAACUUCGGGAGAAGGGGCGCUGACAGCAAUGUCAGCCGCAGUGAAAAGGCCCAGGCGACUGUUUAACAAAAACACAUGGCUUUGCAAAAUCGAAAGAUGAAGUAUAAGGCCUGACACCUGCCCGGUGCUGGAAGGUUAAGAGGGGAUGUUAGUCGCAAGGCGAAGCAUUGAAUCGAAGCCCCAGUAAACGGCGGCCGUAACUAUAACGGUCCUAAGGUAGCGAAAUUCCUUGUCGGG
rnacentral:rRNA from 1 species